rnacentral:rRNA from 1 species
UACGUAGGGUGCAAGCGUUGUCCGGAUUUAUUGGGCGUAAAGAGCGUGUAGGCGGCUUCACAGGUCCGCUGUGAAAACUCGAGGCUCAACCUCGAGCUGUCGGUGGAAACCGUGUGGCUAGAGUCCGGAAGAGGAGAGUGGAAUUCCCGGUGUAGCGGUGAAAUGCGCAGAUAUCGGGAAGAACACCUGUGGCGAAGGCGGCUCUCUGGGACGGUACUGACGCUGAGACGCGAAAGCGUGGGGAGCGAACAGG